GCAGGGAAUCUUGCGCAAUGGGCGAAAGCCUGACGCAGCGACGUCGCGUGGGGGAAGAAGGUCUUCGGGUCGUAAACCCCUUUUCUGGGGGAAGAGGAAGGACGGUACCCCAGGAAUAAGCCUCGGCUAACUACGUGCCAGCAGCCGCGGUAAUACGUAGGAGGCAAGCGUUGUCCGGAUUUACUGGGCGUAAAGGGCGUGUAGGCGGUUCGGGAAGUCCCUGGUGAAAUCUCCCGGCUCAACCGGGAGCGGUCUGGGGAUACUCUCGGACUUGAGGGCAGUAGAGGAGAGUGGAAUUCCCGGUGGAGUGGUGAAAUGCGUAGAUAUCGGGAGGAACACCCGUGGCGAAAGCGGCUCUCUGGGCUGUCCCUGACGCUGAGGCGCGAAAGCGUGGGGAGCAAACCGG
rnacentral:rRNA from 1 species